GACGAACGCUGGCGGCGUGCCUAAUACAUGUAAGUCGAGCGGACGGAUGGGAGCUUGCUCCCAGACCGUCAGCGGCGGACGGGUGAGUAACACGUGGGCAACCUGCCUGUAAGACUGGGAUAACUCCGGGAAACCGGGGCUAAUACCGGAUAACUCUUUCCCUCACAUGAGGGAAAGCUGAAAGAUGGCAUCUCGCUAUCACUUACAGAUGGGCCCGCGGCGCAUUAGCUAGUUGGUGAGGUAACGGCUCACCAAGGCGACGAUGCGUAGCCGACCUGAGAGGGUGAUCGGCCACACUGGGACUGAGACACGGCCCAGACUCCUACGGGAGGCAGCAGUAGGGAAUCUUCCGCAAAGGACGAAAGUCUGACGGAGCAACGCCGCGUGAGUGAUGAAGGUUUUCGGAUCGUAAAACUCUGUUGUCAGGGAAGAACAAGUACCGGAGUAACUGCCGGUACCUUGACGGUACCUGACCAGAAAGCCACGGCUAACUACGUG
rnacentral:rRNA from 1 species